rnacentral:rRNA from 1 species
AGUGAACGCUGGCGGUAGGCCUAACACAUGCAAGUCGAACGGCAGCACAGUAAGAGCUUGCUCUUACGGGUGGCGAGUGGCGGACGGGUGAGGAAUACAUCGGAAUCUACUUUUUCGUGGGGGAUAACGUAGGGAAACUUACGCUAAUACCGCAUACGACCUACGGGUGAAAGCAGGGGAUCUUCGGACCUUGCGCGAUUGAAUGAGCCGAUGUCGGAUUAGCUAGUUGGCGGGGUAAAGGCCCACCAAGGCGACGAUCCGUAGCUGGUCUGAGAGGAUGAGCAGCAAAACUGGAACGGAGACACGGACCAGACUCCGCGGGGGGGCGGCAGUGGGGAAUAUGGAAGAAGGGGCGAAAGUCUUACCCAGCCAUGCCGGGGGGGUGAAGAAGGCUUUUGGUUAGAAAACCCUUUUUUUGGGAAAAAAAAAGAAGCAGUUAAAACCCCCGCUUUCCUGAGGGAACCAAAAAAAAAAGCCCGGGCUAACUUGGUG